AGUGAACGCUGGCGGUAGGCCUAACACAUGCAAGUCGAACGGCAGCACAGUAAGAGCUUGCUCUUACGGGUGGCGAGUGGCGGACGGGUGAGGAAUACAUCGGAAUCUACUUUUUCGGGGGGGAUAACGUAGGGAAACUUACGCUAAUACCGCAUACGACCUACGGGUGAAAGCAGGGGAUCUUCGGACCUUGCGCGAUUGAAUGAGCCGAUGUCGGAUUAGCUAGUUGGCGGGGUAAAGGCCCACCAAGGCGACGAUCCGUAGCUGGUCUGAGAGGAUGAUCAGCCACACUGGAACUGAGACACGGUCCAGACUCCUACGGGAGGCAGCAGUGGGGAAUAUUGGACAAUGGGCGCAAGCCUGAUCCAGCCAUACCGCGUGGGUGAAGAAGGCCUUCGGGUUGUAAAGCCCUUUUGUUGGGAAAGAAAAGCAGCAUGUUAAUACCCCGCUGUUCUGACGGUACCCAAAGAAUAAGCACCGGCUAACUUCGUG
rnacentral:rRNA from 1 species